rnacentral:rRNA from 1 species
AACGAACGCUGGCGGCAGGCCUAACACAUGCAAGUCGAGCGGACCCUUCGGGGUUAGCGGCGGACGGGGGAGUAACGCGUGGGAAUAUGCCCUUCUCUACGGAAUAGUCCUGGGAAACUGGGGGUAAUACCGUAUACGCUCUUUGGGGGAAAGAUUUAUCGGGGAAGGAUGAGCUCGCGUUGGAUUAGGUAGUUGGUGGGGUAAUUGCCUAUCAAGCCGUCGAUCCAUAGCUGGUUUGAGAGGCUGAUCAGCGACACUGGGGCUGAGACACGGCCCAGACUCCUACGGGAGGCAGCAGUGGGGAAUCUUAGACAGUGGGGGGAACCCUGAUCGACCCAUGCCGCGUGAGUGAUGAAGGCCUUAGGGUUGUAAAGCUCUUUCAGCUGGGAAGAUAAUGACGGUACCAGCAGAAGAAGCCCCGGCUAACUCCGUG